rnacentral:rRNA from 1 species
AGAGUUUGAUCCUGGCUCAGAACGAACGCUGGCGGCGUGCUUAACACAUGCAAGUCGAGUGCGCGUCCGUAGCAAUACGGAUGGCGCACGGCGCACGGGUGCGUAACACGUGGGCAAUCUACCCUUCGAUGGGGAAUAACUCGCCGAAAGGCGAGCUAAUUCCGCAUAACAUUCCUUGGACUGCGGUUCGAGGACUCAAAGCCGUAAGGCGUCGAAGGAGGAGCCCGCGCACGAUUAGCUAGUUGGUAGGGUAAUGGCCUACCAAGGCUUUGAUCGUUAGCUGGUCUGAGAGGAUGGCCAGCCACACUGGAACUGAGACACGGUCCAGACUCCUACGGGAGGCAGCAGUGGGGAAUCUUGCACAAUGGGCGAAAGCCUGAUGCAGCGACGCCGCGUGGGGGAUGAAGCAUUUCGGUGUGUAAACCCCUUUCGAUCCGGACGAAUACCUCGCAAGAGGGGUGACGGUACGGAUAUAAGAAGCCCCGGCUAACUACGUGCCAGCAGCCGCGGUAAGACGUAGGGGGCCAGCGUUGUUCGGAAUUACUGGGUGUAAAGGGUUCGUAGGCGGUGUGGCAAGUUGGGAGUGAAAUCUCUGGGCUCAACCCAGAGACUGCUUCCAAAACUGCUGUGCUUGAGUGUGAGAGAGGCUCGUGGAAUUGCAGGUGUAGCGGUGAAAUGCGUAGAUAUCUGCAGGAACACCCGUGGCGAAAGCGGCGAGCUGGAUCACUACUGACGCUGAGGAACGAAAGCUAGGGGAGCAACAGGAUUAGAUACCCUAGUAGUCC